rnacentral:misc_RNA from 1 species
GAUGAAGAACGUAGUGAAAUGCGAUAAGUAGUGUGAAUUGCAGAAUUCAGUGAAUCAUCGAAUCUUUGAACGCACAUUGCGGCCAUAGGUAUUCCUUUGGCCAUGCCUGUUUGAGCGUCAUUUACACCCUCAAGCCUAGCUUGGUGUUGGGCGCCUGUCCCGCCGUUUUCGCGCGCGGACUCGCCUCAAAGUCAUUGGCGGCGGUCGUGCCGGCCCCCUCGCGCAGCACAUUUGCGCUUCUCGGAGGCCCGGCGGAUCCGCGCUCCAGCAAGACCUUUCACGACUUGACCUCGGAUCAGGUAGGGAUACCCGCUGAACUUAAGCAUAUCAAUAAGCGGAGGA